AACGAACGCUGGCGGCGUGCCUAACACAUGCAAGUCGAACGAGAAAGGGGCUUCGGCCCCGAGUAAAGUGGCGCACGGGUGAGUAACACGUAGGUAACCUGCCUCUAGGAUUGGGAUAACCUGUCGAAAGAUAAGCUAAUACCAAAUAAGACCACAGCUUCUUCGGAAGCAGGGGUCAAAGGUAGCCUCUACAUGUAAGCUAUCGCUUAGAGUUGGGCCUGCGUAACCAUUAGCUAGNGGUAGGGUAACGGCCUACCAAGGCUAAGAUGGUUAGCUGGUCUGAGAGGAUGAUCAGCCACACUGGAACUGAGACACGGUCCAGACUCCUACGGGAGGCAGCAGUGGGAAUAUUGCGCAAUGGGCGAAAAGCCUGACGCAGCAACGCCGCGUGAGUGAUGAAGGCCUUCGGUCGUAAGACUCU
rnacentral:rRNA from 1 species